rnacentral:snoRNA from 1 species
UACUGAUUAUACAAUGAUGCCUGUUACAGUUUUGGGAAAUUAAUACUAUUCCUAUCUCUUGGCUUCGUUCUGAAGUCGUUCGGGGAUAAAACUAGAAGCAUGGCCAUCGUUCUGAUGGUGUACCUUCGCCUUUUUUGAAUAGCGAGGACUCUAUGAGUUGAAGAGAUGACUUUUUUCAACAACGUAGUUGUUGAAUAAAUCUACCAUCUUUUCGUAGUUGGAGAACUCACAUUU